GCACGGGGGCAACCCUGGUGGCGAGUGGCGAACGGGUGAGUAAUGCAUCGGAACGUGCCCAGUAGUGGGGGAUAACUAGUCGAAAGAUUAGCUAAUACCGCAUACGACCUAUGGGUGAAAGCGGGGGACCUUUACUGGCCUCGCGCUGUCGGAGCGGCCGAUGUCUGAUUAGCUAGUUGGCGGGGUAAGAGCCCACCAAGGCGACGAUCAGUAGCUGGUCUGAGAGGACGACCAGCCACACUGGGACUGAGACACGGCCCAGACUCCUACGGGAGGCAGCAGUGGGGAAUUUUGGACAAUGGGCGCAAGCCUGAUCCAGCCAUGCCGCGUGCGGGAAGAAGGCCUUCGGG
rnacentral:rRNA from 1 species